rnacentral:rRNA from 1 species
GACGAACGCUGGCGGCGUGCUUAACACAUGCAAGUCGAACGAUGAUGCUGGAGCUUGCUCCAGUUGAUUAGUGGCGAACGGGUGAGUAACACGUGAGCAAUCUGCCCUUGACUCUGGGAUAACUGCGGGAAACUGUAGCUAAUACCGGAUACUUUCACCGGAAGGCAUCUUCUGGUGAUGAAAGAAUUUCGGUCAGGGAUGAGCUCGCGGCCUAUCAGCUUGUUGGUGAGGUAACGGCUCACCAAGGCGACGACGGGUAACCGGCCUGAGAGGGUGACCGGUCACACUGGGACUGAGACACGGCCCAGACUCCUACGGGAGGCAGCAGUGGGGAAUAUUGCACAAUGGGCGCAAGCCUGAUGCAGCAACGCCGCGUGAGGGAUGACGGCCUUCGGGUUGUAAACCUCUUUUAGUAGGGAAGAAGCGAAAGUGACGGUACCUGCAGAAAAAGCACCGGCUAACUACGUGCCAGCCGCCGCCGUAA